AAUUCGCCCUUGAGCACGUAGGUGGGUUUGUAAGUCAGAUGUGAAAGCCUUCUGUUCAACGGAAGAAUUGCAUCUGAAACUGCGAGUCUUGAGUGUAGGAGGGGAGAAUGGAACUCCUGGUGGAGCGGUGAAAUGCGUAGAUAUCAGAAGGAACGCCGGCGGCGAAAGCGAUUCUCUGGCCUAUUACUGACACUCAGUGUGCGAAAGCUAGGGGAGCAAACGGGAUUAGAUACCCCGGAAGUCCUAGCCGUAAACGAUGGGCACUAAGUAGAGGGAAUUACCGAUGUUCUCUCUGCCGUAGCUAACGCAUUAAGUGCCCCGCCUGGGGAGUACGGCCGCAAGGCUAAAACUCAAAAGAAUUGACGGGGGCUCGCACAAGCGGUGGAGCAUGUGGCUUAAUUCGAUGCAACGCGAAGAACCUUACCGGGGCUUGACAUGGUAGAAGUAGGAACCCGAAAGGGUAACGAACGGUAUCCAGUCCGUAACUAUCACAGGUGUUGCAUGGCUGUCGUCAGCUCGUGUCGUGAGACGUUGGGUUAAGUCCCCUAACGAGCGAAACCCUUGUUUUUAGUUACCAGCGGGUUGUGCCGGGUACUCUAGAAAGACUGCCGUCGUCAAGACGGAGGAAGGUGGGGAUGACGUCAAGUCAUCAUGGCCCUUAUGCCCCGGGCUGCACACGUGCUACAAUGGUCGGUACAAACGGAAGCGAAGCCGAGAGGUGAAGCGAAUCCAAGGGCGAAUU
rnacentral:rRNA from 1 species